rnacentral:rRNA from 1 species
CCUACGGGAGGCAGCAGUGGGGAAUAUUGCGCAAUGGGCGAAAGCCUGAAGCAGCGACGCCGCGUGAGGGAUGAAGGUCUUCGGAGCGUAAAACUCUGUCAGCAGGGAAGAACGGUCAGGGAGGUAAACAGCAGUGAAUGGACGGUACGAGCAAAGGAAGCACAGGCUAACGCCGUGCCAGCAGCCGCGGUAAUACGGAGGGUGCGAGUGUUAAUCGGAAUGACUGGGAGUAACGCGCGCGUAGGCGGUAUGUCAAGUCAAGGGUGAAAUCGCCGCGCUCAACGUGGGAACUGCCUUUGAUACUGUCAAACUGGAGUGUGUGUGCGGUUAGUGGAAUGCCUGUUGU